UACGGAGGGGGCUAGCGUUGUUCGGAAUUACUGGGCGUAAAGCGCGCGUAGGCGGCUUUGCAAGUUAGAGGUGAAAGCCCGGGGCUCAACUCCGGAAUUGCCUUUAAAACUGCAUCGCUAGAGUUGUGGAGAGGUAAGUGGAAUUCCGAGUGUAGAGGUGAAAUUCGUAGAUAUUCGGAAGAACACCAGUGGCGAAGGCGACUUACUGGACACAUACUGACGCUGAGGUGCGAAAGCGUGGGGAGCAAACAGG
rnacentral:rRNA from 1 species